rnacentral:rRNA from 1 species
CGGCCUACGGGGGGCAGCAGUGGGGGAUAUUGGACAAUGGGGGAAACCCUGAUCCAGCGACGCCGCGUGAGUGAAGAAGUAUUUCGGUAUGUAAAGCUCUGUCAGCAGGGAAGAAAGAAAUGACGGUACCUGACCAAGAAGCCCCGGCUAACUACGUGCCAGCAGCCGCGGUAAUACGUAGGGGGCAAGCGUUAUCCGGAAUUACUGGGUGUAAAGGGAGCGUAGACGGUGAUGCAAGUCUGGAGUGAAAGGCGGGGGCCCAACCCCCGGACUGCUCUGGGAACUGGGUAACUUGAUGGCAGGGG